GAUGAACGCUGGCGGCGUGCUUAACACAUGCGAGUCGAACGGUGAAGGCGGAGCUUGCUCUGCUGGAUCAGUGGCGAACGGGUGGGUAACACGUGAGCAAUCUGCCCCUGACUCUGGGAUAAGCGCUGGAAACGGCGUCUAAUACUGGAUACGAGCUGCGAAGGCAUCUUCAGCAGCUGGAAAGAAUUUCGGUCAGGGAUGAGCUCGCGGCCUAUCAGCUUGUUGGUGAGGUAAUGGCUCACCAAGGCGUCGACGGGUAGCCGGCCUGAGAGGGUGACCGGCCACACUGGGACUGAGACACGGCCCAGACUCCUACGGGAGGCAGCAGUGGGGAAUAUUGCACAAUGGGCGAAAGCCUGAUGCAGCAACGCCGCGUGAGGGACGACGGCCUUCGGGUUGUAAACCUCUUUUAGCAGGGAAGAAGCGAAAGUGACGGUACCUGCAGAAAAAGCGCCGGCUAACUACGUG
rnacentral:rRNA from 1 species